rnacentral:rRNA from 1 species
UACGUAGGGGGCUAGCGUUGUCCGGAAUCAUUGGGCGUAAAGAGCGCGUAGGCGGCCCUGUUAGUCCGCUGUAAAAGUCAAAGGCUCAACCUUUGAAUGCCGGUGGAUACUGCAGGGCUAGAGUCCGGAAGAGGCGAGUGGAACUCCUGGUGUAGCGGUGGAAUGCGCAGAUAUCAGGAAGAACACCACCGGCGAAGGCAGCUCGCUGGGACGGAACUGACGCUAAGGCGCGAAAGCGUGGGGAGCGAACAGG